rnacentral:rRNA from 1 species
GAUGAACGCUGGCGGCGUGCCUAAUACAUGCAAGUCGAGCGAACAGACGAGGAGCUUGCUCCUCUGACGUUAGCGGCGGACGGGUGAGUCACACGUGUAUAACCUACUUAUAAGACUGGGAUCACUUCGGGACACCGGAGCUUAUACCGGAUAAUCUAUUGAACCGCAUGGUUCAAUAGUGAAAGACGGUUUUGCUGUCAGUUGUAGAUGGAUCGGCGCCGUAUUAGCUUGUUGGUAGGGUAGUGGCGUACCAAGGCAACGGUGGGUAGCAGGCCUGAGAGGGUGAGCGGCGACACGGGGACUGAGAGACGGCCAAGAUGCGUAAGGUAGGCAGCAGGGGGGAAUAUUGCAGAAGGGGCGGAAGCCUGAUGAAGAAACUCCUCGUGCGGGAAAACUGUUUUAGGGGGGUAAAACGAUUGUGCAUGUGACGAAGCGUGAGUGACGGGAAUGGGUAAAGAAGCACCGGCUAAAUACGUG